UUAAAAAGGGUUCCGGUAUGUCCGGGGAAAAGCAAUUAAAAAUGUUCGUUGUUUCAAAAAGACGAUGGAGUUUUUGUAAAUGUUUGGCGGAACGGGAUUAGGGAAGUCUAGUAUUAGACGGGCGAAAGAAUGAAUUUUUCAAGGACCCCGUUUUGGACUAACGGAGGGGAAAGGCGACAAUUUUUAGAACGUUUUUUUAGAAUCAAGGACGAAGGCAGGAGUUUCGAAAGUGAUUAGACACCGCUGUAGUUCCUGCAGUAAACUAUGCCGACAGCCUGUGUGUGAGAAUACGUGGGCGGGAGAAAUCUUAGUGUUCGGGCUCUGGGGAUAGUACGCUCGCAAGGGUGAAACUUAAAGCGAAAUUGACGGAAGGACACUACCAGGAGUGGAUUGUGCUGCUUAAUUUAACUCAACGCGGGAAAACUUACCAGGGUCAAGUCAUUCGUUGAUCGAAUACGUGAGAAUGGCAGGAGUGGUGCAUGGCCGUUGGAAAUUGAUGGGGCGACCUUUAGCUUAAAUGCUUAAACCAGUGAGACCUCCUUGACAGGUGUUCUGUAACACAGGAGGGUGGAGGCUAUAACAGGUCCGUGAUGCCCUUAGAUAUCCUGGGCAGCAAGCGCAAUACAAUAUCUCUUCAGUAGACAAAGUGAUUUGAGAUGAGUAGGAUCUACGUUUGUAAAUACGUAGUGAAUAAGGAAUUCCUAGUAACGGUGCCUCAUCAAGGCAUGGUGAAUGUGUCCCUGUUCUUUGUACACACCGCCCGUCACUAUUUCAGAUGGUCAUAGGGAUGAAGAGCUUCGGCUCUGAAUAUCUAUGGCUAGAUAAAGUACAAGUCGUAACAAGGUUUCAGUUGGAGAACCAGCUGAAGGAUCAUUU
rnacentral:ncRNA from 1 species